UCAUCCCUCCGUCCUGUGCUCCUCUGUAGAGGUCAGAGGGUAAAAACAUGCAGUUUAGCGCAACUUGACAUACAGUAAUAUUCUGUGUCUGCACUGUGAGCUGACAAGGAGCAGAGAUUUAUCUGUAGGUUGGUGCAGAGCGGUGAGAUGAUGUCAUGAUGUGAAGCUGAAACCGGAGCGGCUGCACGCUGCUACACGCAGCGCUGACUCAACCUCACUCUAAAAUCCUCUUUAGCCACGAUCACUAAUGGAGUUUGGAUGUAAUGGUUCCUAGUAUAACAGGCUGAACUGCAGCCACUUUAAAUCUCCUUGACGUUAUUGUGCGUAAUGCUUCAGGCCCUUCAACGAGUCCCUGAUGAAUCCCGCUUCUAGCCGUUAUCUCGGAACGCUCCGGCUUCAGGUUGGGAACAGGAGAGGUUUGUUGGGAGCUCCUCAGAUAACCUGCUGGUCUGGAUAACCUGUCGGUUUAUUUUAGCGGCUGCAGAUCAGAGGAGUUCGCUCUGUCUGGCGCCGUUUCAUUUGGGAAUAUCUGGCCACUGCUGCUACCAGGAAGGCUUUCCCAUUCCUCUUCCCAACUCUUGAAGAGUUCCUGAAGUUAUUUUGGUUCAUUCUUCCUGCAAACAGGUCUUAAAAUGUCCAGCAGUAAGAGACAUGGUUCUAUUUCUGGCUCCCUGAUCCUCCUCUUCCCCAGCCGGGCCUUUGGGUCGCUCAGCUGACUGCCAGAUGACCGACCCACCAGAGGGACAUUUCAUUUCACUGCUGUAAGAAACUGUAACCAGAUGACUCUCAUAAAUGUCAGGAGCUACGUGUUUAGCAUUCAGAUGCUAUUUUAGGCUAGCAUAGCUUCGCUGAUAGGCUAGCUCCUUUUAGCACAACUUCAACACAACAAUGGUGUUUCCAUCGUCCAAUCAGAUCGCUAGAGUUAGAAGGACGAGAGAAGCAGCUUGGUUGUCUAUCACUGCUGUUAGCGGAUGUGGCUGUGCAUCAGAUUAAUGGGCGCACCAGAAACAUGCAAACAGAAAGGUUCCUCAGAAAGGUUCCCAACCUGAUAGAACUUAAGCAUGGAAACGAAAUUUGGAUUAAUCGAGUUAAAAUCUUUAAGCGCCUCUGAAGAACAUCCGAUUGUUUUCUGGUCGAAUGUUUUCCUCCCAGGUUCUGUCUGCUGGUUCUGAAUGCAGAGGUCAGAGGUCACGACCUGAAGCUUCUCCAGGUUCCUCCCAGGGUUUUUUCUGGUUUUACUCUGAGAAACAUGCCGUCCGUUCAGUCAGUGGAGGCAGAGCGUCAGCUGUUCUGGGUCCGUCCACAGCGACCGUGACGAACGCAACGUCGGUCUGGUUCAGACAAAACCUGAAACGUUUCCAGGAGCCGAAGAUUUUCUCUGAUCUCACAGGAAGAUUAGCUUCUCUUUCUGUCAUUAGGAAACUUUCUGAAGGACCUAAAACACUCUGACCUGCCAACCCUGGAUCACCUCAGAGACACGUUCACACUCUGAUCAUUCCUCUGCUUUCACACACACCCACACCCACGGCUUUCUUUGGUGGUCCUGCUCUCUGUUGAUAAUCAGGCGGCUGAUAGUUCGGCUUUAUUAACAUCAGGCUUGUAUCUCCUUGAAAACGCGAUGGGCGAACUAGGACGGGAACAACGCGACCUUUGAACCCAGAGGGCAUCUCAUUCAGCUGGCAGCUUGCACUACAGCAGCGUGGGUGUUUGCUUAAACCCAGCAGCUUUCAUUAAAAUCAGCUGGCUUUGUUUCCACGGCGAUCAGUCAGGGUCAGAGGUUUGAUUCCCUGAGGAGCAGAAACACACUGAGCAUGAGAUCCGCUACUUUCAGGCUUCAUGGUGUUAAAAACUGAUAUAAAUCCACUGCAACAUCUGA